GAAAGUUAAGUUUGUGGUUGAAAGUCCAAGCCAGUCGCAGGCAAAAGGAUCCACGUAAGUCAGGCCAAUGGCCCGACAAUCAUGGUGCGGUUUAGAUGUUAGUCCUGCCAGAAAUGAGAGGGUUAGUAGUGAGAGGUUGAGUCCGGGUAGCAAAAGCUCCAGCAGGCGAGUGUGGGGUCAAAGACCAGGUCAAUUAACUUUC
rnacentral:ncRNA from 1 species